GUCUUUUUGAUUGUAAGUUCUUUUAUGAGGGAUAACAACUGAUAGUACCUCAUGAAUAAGUGACAGCAAACUAUGUGCCAGCAGCUGCGGUAAUACAUAGGUCGCAAGCAUUAUCCGGAUUUAUU
rnacentral:rRNA from 1 species